GACGAACGCUGGCGGCGUGCUUAACACAUGCAAGUCGAACGGAAAGGCCCUGCUUUGGGGGGGUGCUCGAGUGGCGAACGGGUGAGUAACACGUGAGUAACCUGCCCUUGACUUUGGGAUAACUUCAGGAAACUGGGGCUAAUACCGGAUAGGAGCUCCUGCUGCAUGGUGGGGGUUGGAAAGUUUCGGCGGUUGGGGAUGGACUCGCGGCUUAUCAGCUUGUUGGUGGGGUAGUGGCUUACCAAGGCUUUGACGGGUAGCCGGCCUGAGAGGGUGACCGGCCACAUUGGGACUGAGAGACGGCCCAGACUCCUACGGGAGGCAGCAGGGGGGAAUAUUGCACAAUGGGCGGAAGCCUGAUGCAGAAACGCCGCGUGCGGGAUGACGGCCUUGGGGUUGUAAAACGCUUUCGCCUGUGACGAAGCGUGAGUGACGGUAAUGGGUAAAGAAGCACCGGCUAACUACGUG
rnacentral:rRNA from 1 species